CUAUUCCACUUUACUCUCUCCUAUAGUGCGCAAAUCACCGGAUUACCUCGGGGUAUACCGUGUAAAUUAAGAAUUAAGGCAUUGCAUAACAGAGAUGUAACUAUUUAUUAUAGAUCAGACGCGUCGGCCCCGCCCCUUUCCGCUACGUCACGCCUUCCGCCGCAGCCUCUACGGGUUGCUAUGACGACGGCGUUGCAGCUCGUCUCCGAAGGCAUUCGGCUACUUUCUGCACUUGAGUUUUUGGGAAAACUGUGUCGACCGGAGAGAAAAGAACCACGAAAAAGGCAGCAGCGGCUAUGAAAAUGAUAAUACCAACACGUCUGAAAAUGUUGCAGGGACUCAUGUUGCUUCCUUUUGAUAUCACCAUGAAGUAAGAGAGAUAACUUUAUAAUGGAGACCUCAGAAGAAGUGGACCACACGGCUCUGAACGGGUCAGACCAGCAGCGUCCAGCACUGAGGUACAGCACAGUGGGAGAGCAGCCGUCUUGCAGGACACCAGAUAGGAGACAAGUUGAUGCCCUACUUGACAUCAGUGAGGAGGACUUCUUGAAAGAGCUGGAGCCACAUGAGUAUCACUGUUACUCUGUUUGGCAAGAAGCUGUCAAAGGUUGGGCCAGAGUUGCCCCACUGAGCUGCAUACUCGUGACUCAGAAGAGAGAGAAGAAACCAAAGCAUGAGGAGGUGGACAACCUGCCCCCCUUGUCCAUUUACCCACAAGUCCUUAAUGCAGACUGUUCAGCCAGCGCUGCAGAGCACCGCUUUGAGUCUCAUGUGGGCCCACGUAACAGCUUUAAGAAAUCCAUGCCAGUAAACCAGUACACGGAAUGGUGGAGUAACACUGCUGUGGCAAGUCUGCGGGAAGAUGCCUCAGAGUCGUCCGUCCUCACUGCAAUGCAAAAGGUCAUGUCAAAUCUCGUACUGGAAGAGAAGACAGAGGUGGAAGGAAGGCUCAGAGUGUCCCCUGUGCAGAACAGGCCAACUAAGCACCAGAAGCCCAACCAUAGGCCUCAUAAUGCAGUGCUCCCCAUUAAAAACUUCACAUUCUUACCACCGAUUGCAUCACUACAUCUGAAUCCUCAGAGAGUCGGUGGCAAGAGGGCUGCAGAGGGAGAAACCAUGGAUGAGAACUGUUUCAUAUUUGAUCUGAAGGGUGGGGCAAGAGGAACAAGAACGGAACCCGUCGCUAACCUGACCUCCAAGUACCGGACAUGUCAGCAUGACCCCCACUUGUUCUCUGCUGCAAGUAUGUCACUCCACAAGAGGUGUCAAGUACCUGUGUCUUCCAGACGUGACACGGCACACCACACUAGCUUCUCGAUGGGCAGGAGUCUCAAACACCCGGGCACCGCAGCGGGUGCACAAGUCCAUCUGCGCCCAAGUAAGACUGUGUGUGCUGUCAAGAUGUAUGAUGGCUGUGAAAUAAAUGUUUAA
rnacentral:lncRNA from 1 species